AAGUCGUAACAAGGUUUCCGUAGGUGAACCUGCGGAAGGAUCAUUGCAAAUCAAAGAUUGGAAACAAAGUGUAAUAGCGAGGAGUUUGAGAGCAAUCUUGAACGGUUCACUAUUCCAUUUUGUUUUCAUAUACGCACAGCGUGCUUGGAUCGGGGGAUCACCUCUUGUCCAUGCCGCUGAUGUUUACGCUUGUAUGUUUGACAAAUCUAUUACAUUUAAAUAUUCAAAACUUUUAACAACGGAUCUCUUGGCUCUU
rnacentral:misc_RNA from 1 species